rnacentral:sRNA from 1 species
AGUCAAUCAUAUUUCUCGUAUUUCUGCCGCCAGCAGGCGCGCCAGUCAACAAGCGAAACGGUGAAGAGAUAACCUUCGUGAACUUUUCCACUUUUUGGAAUUGUUCCAAACUACGAUCCGUCCUAUAUGAUGAG